rnacentral:lncRNA from 12 species
CCUCCCCAGGUUCUCCACCGCUGGCUGCCCACCCUGGGUGGGCCUGUCUUCCCUAGUUAGCUGGUGUGAUCUCGGGGUCUCGGACCUCAUCUGAUCACUAGUGGGGAGCUGGAGCUGGCUUCAAAUGGCUUUCAUGAGCUCGUGGUUAAAUUUUUAGGAAUUUUCUUUUCUUUUUUUUUUUUAAGUAUUUAUUUAUUCAUUCAUGAGCGACAGAGAGAGAGGCAGAGACACAGGCAGAGGGAGGAGCAGGCCCCAUGCUGGGAGCCCAACUUGUGACUCAAUCUGGGUCUCCAGGAUCAGGCCCUGGGCUGAAGGCGGCGCUAAACAGCUGAGCCACCCGGGCUGCCCAAUUUUUAGGAAUUUUCUGAACUGGUUGUUAAACUCGGCCAUCAUUAGAAACUAAUUUUUACAAACUUACAGUGAAAACCAUUUUCUUAAAAAGGGAAAUACGCACUAAAACUGCAUCACUUCCCAAUUAUUUUACUGUUAUCUAACCUAGGCUAUUUAUGGCUAUCGUAUCUGGGGGUGGACACACACCAUAUAAGGAUGUGGGCCAACUCGCCAUUCAUCAAUGUCAGAUGGGUGCCUUGAUACCUGCCAGGGUAGGAAUGCUGACACCACAGACAUGAGUAAGAGCCACAUACUGGGGCCCCUCACCCCAUCCCAGAGGCUGGCUGUGAAACAUUUUUCAGCGCACCACGGAGCUCAGCCCCUGCCCUCCGGGCCCCUCCAGUAGGGCUGGGCGCACAGCAGAGCUUAAUGAAGGCCGCCAAAGAAGAGGAGAGAAAGGAUGCGGGGUUUGCCUUGGGAAGCAGGAUGACUGGCUUCCAACAUCUGCCACCAAGUGCUGGCCCGUUUUCCCCUCGGGGCUUUCCUGGGGACACAGCAUCUGCAGCUCUCUGCUGUCCUCUAGCGGACGCUGACUGCGCCAUCCUGAGGGGACCCCUGGCGUGCCCGGAGAGGCCAUGUCAUCCUUCAGAUUCCAAAGGCCAUUUGCCACGUGUGAUUACCUUGAACCCCAAUACAUUUCUGCAAACGUCCUUAUUCCACGGUCGAAGCCAAACUUUAUCACCCGCACCCCCAGCGUGGGGACAAGCUGGCCGUUUCCUCGAACCUGUGUCCUCCUCUCCGGGCCACAGUCUGGUGUGCAAACCGAGGAACAGCAGAGGCCGCGUCUGCUUGGCUCACAGCUCUGUCUCGGGGCCCAUUAGGGGCCGGGCGCAGCGCUGAGGCCCAGUGUCUGUGCGGAACGGGGUGCGCACCCCAGGCAACCGUGUGGCCUCGCUGCUCCCUGCGCCUCCUUCCUCCUAUUGAGAGCCCCCCGCAGAGGGUCGGGGCAUCCACUGGGGCAUCACGGGGAGGGGGGGGGCGCGGGAUCUGCGCUGAUGAGCGCCAACGGACUCUGGGAAGAGGCAUAUUUAAAGGGAAGGAUGGGGGAUCCCUGGGUGGCGCAGCAGUUUAGCGCCUGCCUUUGGCCCAGGGCGCGAUCCUGGAGACCCGGGAUCGAGUCCCACGUCGGGCUCCCGGUGCAUGGAGCCUGCUUCUCCCUCUGCCUGUGUCUCUGCCUCUCUCUCUCUCUGUGUGUGUGGCUACCAUAAAUAAAUAAAAAUUAAAAAAAAUAAAUAAAGGGAAG